CAAGUCGAACGAGAAAGUGGAGCAAUCCAUGAGUAAAGUGGCGACCGGGCUGAGUAACACGUGACUAACCUACCCUAAAGUGGGGGAUAACCCUGGGAAACCGGGGCUAAUACCGCAUAACAUCGCGAGGGGAAGAUCCUUGUGAUCAAAGGAGCAAUUCGCUGAAGGAGGGGGUCGCGGCUGAUUAGUUAGUUGGUGAGGUAACGGCUCACCAAGACAAAGAUCAGUAUCCGGCCUGAGAGGGCGCACGGACACACUGGAACUGAAACACGGUCCAGACUCCUACGGGAGGCAGCAGUGGGGAAUUUUGCGCAAUGGGGGAAACCCUGACGCAGCAACGCCGCGUGGAGGAUGAAGUCCCUUGGGAUGUAAACUCCUUUCGAUCGGGACGAUUAUGACGGUACCGGAAGAAGAAGCACCGGCUAACUCUGUGCCAGCAGCCGCGGUAAUACAGAGGGUGCAAGCGUUGUUCGGAAUUAUUGGGCGUAAAGGGCGCGUAGGCGGUGCGGUAAGUCUGCAGUGAAAUCUCUGGGCUCAACUCAGAGUCUGCUGUAGAAACUGCCGUGCUUGAGUGUGGGAGAGGUGAGUGGAAUUCCC
rnacentral:rRNA from 1 species